rnacentral:tRNA from 1 species
GCCUGGGUGGCUCAGUCAGUUAAGCGUCUGACUUUGGCUCAUGUCAUGAUCUCACAGUUUGUGGGUUCGAGCCCCACGUCGGGCU